UAUACUUAAUCUGUAUCAAAUUUAAUGAAUGUCGGAGCAUAAAAAAUUUGCUUUAGAUUGUCCUCAAUUGUUUUUUCCUUUGACCCUUUAAUCCCCUGAUGCUGAUUUAUUUUAAAUUUUUUUGUUUUUGAAUAUAGGGGUGCCAAGGGAUUCAAAAGUCUAGGACAAUGGAGGGGGCUGAUUUGCUGACAAAUUUGUUGGAACAAUGAAGUUGAAAUUGAGAAACAAAAAAAAUUUGCUGACAAAUUUGUUGGAACAAUGAAGUUGAAAUUGAGAAAAAAAAAAAAAAUUGUUCAAUUAGUAUUUACACUAAAUCAAUACGAAUGCAUGAUAUGUAUUUUUCAUAAAUGUUAGUUAAACGAUAUGUUUUUCGUUUAAUAAUGAUAUGAUGUGACAACUUGAGGGACA
rnacentral:lncRNA from 1 species